UACAGAGGUCUCAAGCGUUGUUCGGAUUCAUUGGGCGUAAAGGGUGCGUAGGCGGCGCGGUGAAGUCGGGUAGUGGAAAUCAUUGGAGCUUAACUCCGAAACUGCAUUCGAUACUGCCGUGCUUGAGGACUGGAGAGGAGACUGGAAUUUACGGUGUAGCGGUGAAAUGCGUAGAUAUCGUAAGGAAGACCAGUGGCGAAGGCGGGUCUCUGGACUGUAACUGACACUGAGGCUCGAAAGCGUGGGGGAGCAAACAGG
rnacentral:rRNA from 1 species